CACCAGAGCAGUUGCCUAUUGUUCUUCAGUUGCCUAGUUGGUAUUUGGCUUAAGCUACUGGUAGGGAAGGAAGGGAAUUUGGCUUAAGCUACUGGUAGAACGAGCUGAGCUUGUUCCAGUUGCUGUUGAGGGAGGUUGCAGGGAGAGACAGCGGUAGCAGCUAUGGGUUGCAGGGAGAGACAGUGAUGGUGCAGCUGCAUUAGUGCUAGCGAGUGGGAAGAAGACACUUGAAUGCAAUAGUGCCAGCAUGUGUAUUUUUUGGAAUAAUGAUAUUGUAUCAGCUUUUGCUAUCUUUCAUUGUAAUUAGCUAGGAUGCAGCAGCCAUCAAGCUAGCUAGAAUGUCUUCUUUUUGGUUUUAUGGUAUGGAUGGAUACAUGAAUGCUACCUCUUUUGGUACAUUGGAUGGUUGAAUUAGAGUAUUUCAAUG